rnacentral:piRNA from 1 species
UGACUCAUGCUGCUUGCCCAACCAACUGGA